GUUAUUGAUAAAUAUCGGAGCAAACUCCUACCUACCAAUGCUGAAGCAUUAAUAUGCCUUCGGGAUUGGAUGUUUGAUAUAGACUUCAGAGCUGAGCCUUUUGAUGAUCCCACUGAUGUGGAUAAUGCACUUGGAAAUAUACUGGAACUAUUGCACAUUGAAAAGGAGAGAGGUGCAGUAGCUAGUUCUUCAGCUGGUCCUACUCCUAGAGAAGGAUAAGCUCAAUGUGCCUGCAACAAGAGAAAGACCUUCCUAGGUGUUGAGAAAGCUUGUGGAUGAUGCAUCAAAGUUUUUGAAUGACAAAAUCACCAAAGCUGUGGUAACAAUGCCAUCAUACUUCAAUGAUUCCCAAAGAUGUGGUAAAGAAACUUGUC